AGCCCCGUGGUGAAGAAAGCACGUUGGAUUGCAAACCCAGAGACGUAGAGUAAUACCCUGCCGGGGCUU
rnacentral:tRNA from 2 species